rnacentral:rRNA from 1 species
UUGGGAAUCUUGGACAAUGGGGGAAACCCUGAUCCAGCCAUGCCGCGUGAGUGAUGAAGGCCUUAGGGUUGUAAAGCUCUUUCGCACGCGACGAUAAUGACGGUAGCGUGAGAAGAAGCCCCGGCUAACUUCGUGCCAGCAGCCGCGGUAAUACGUAGGUGGCAAGCGUUGUCCGGAUUUACUGGGCGUAAAGGGAGCGUAGGCGGACUUUUAAGUGAGAUGUGAAAUACCCGGGCUCAACCUGGGUGCUGCAUUUCGAACUGGAAGUCUAGAGUGCAGGAGAGGAGAGUGGAAUUCCUAGUGUAGCGGUGAAAUGCGUAGAGAUUAGGAAGAACACCAGUGGCAAAGGCGACUCUCUGGACUGUAACUGACGCUGAGGCUCGAAAGCGUGGGGAGCAGACA